AGUGAACGCUGGCGGUAGGCCUAACACAUGCGAGUCGAACGGCAGCACAGUAAGAGCUUGCUCUUACGGGUGGCGAGUGGCGGACGGGUGAGGAAUACAUCGGAAUCUACUUUUUCGUGGGGGAUAACAUAGGGAAACUUACGCUAAUACCGCAUACGACCUACGGGUGAAAGCAGGGGAUCUUCGGACCUUGCGCGAUUGAAUGAGCCGAUGUCGGAUUAGCUAGUUGGCGGGGUAAAGGCCCACCAAGGCGACGAUCCGUAGCUGGUCUGAGAGGAUGAUCAGCCACACUGGAACUGAGACACGGUCCAGACUCCUACGGGAGGCAGCAGUGGGGAAUAUUGGACAAUGGGCGCAAGCCUGAUCCAGCCAUACCGCGUGGGUGAAGAAGGCCUUCGGGUUGUAAAGCCCUUUUGUUGGGAAAGAAAAGCAGCAGGUUAAUACCCCGCUGUUCUGACGGUACCCAAAGAAUAAGCACCGGCUAACUUCGUG
rnacentral:rRNA from 1 species